rnacentral:rRNA from 1 species
GAUGAACGCUGGCGGCGUGCCUAAUACAUGCAAGUCGAGCGAACAGACGAGGAGCUUGCUCCUCUGACGUUAGCGGCGGACGGGUGAGUAACACGUGGAUAACCUACCUAUAAGACUGGGAUAACUUCGGGAAACCGGAGCUAAUACCGGAUAAUAUAUUGAACCGCAUGGUUCAAUAGUGAAAGACGGUUUUGCUGUCACUUAUAGAUGGAUCCGCGCCGCAUUAGCUAGUUGGUAAGGUAACGGCUUACCAAGGCGACGAUGCGUAGCCGACCUGAGAGGGUGAUCGGCCACACUGGAACUGAGACACGGUCCAGACUCCUACGGGAGGCAGCAGUAGGGAAUCUUCCGCAAUGGGCGAAAGCUUGACGGAGCAACGCCGCGUGAGUGAUGAAGGUCUUCGGAUCGUAAAACUCUGUUAUUAGGGAAGAACAAAUGUGUAAGUAACUAUGCACGUCUUGACGGUACCUAAUCAGAAAGCCGCGGCUAACUACGUG